rnacentral:misc_RNA from 1 species
GCCUGUUCGAGCGUUAUUUAAACCCCUCAAGCUUUGCUUGGUGUUGGGGCAUGCUAUACAGCAGUCCUUAAAAUCAGUGGCGGUACCUUUAGGCUCUAAGCGUAGUAAAUUUUCUCGCUAUAGGUUCUAGUGAAUACUCGCCAUUAACAUUUACUUUUAUGGUUAACCUCGGAUCAGGUAGGGAUACCCGCUGAACUUAA